UUUUCUCCAUCGAUUUACCUAAUUCCCAAAUCCUCGCUUCCUCUGCCGACUCCUGCCGAUUCCCAACUCCCAAACUCCAAAUUCCCACUUCCGCCGGCUCCAUCUCCACCAGCUCCACCCAGCUUUUGCAGGGGCUUGAAGCAGAUACAUUGACUGGGGAACCCAUCUUGAGGCUGAUAUUGAUGGAAAUGGAGUUAUGGACUAUGGAGAGUUUGUAGCAGUGACGAUACACUUGCAGAGGAUGGAGAAUGAUGAGCACUUUCGUAGAGCGUUCAUGUUUUUUUGACAAAGACGGAUUUUUGGCUAAUUUGGAUAUGGCAAUUUUUGGUUGUUGUUUGGCCCCUUUUUAUGGCUUAUUUUUAGCUGUGUUUAAAGCUAUAUUUUUGCUGAUUUUUUGUGCUCAAUUUCUCAAUUAGCAGGCUGAUUUUUUGACAUUUUUUUGGCUGCUGUUUUUCUUUCUUUCUUUUUUCUUUUUGGAUAGCUCAUUUGCUGGUUUCUUUUGCUUCUUAAUGUAAUUAGAGUUGAAGAGCAUAAUUACAGCUUGGCUUGACGAUGAAUUGCUGAAGACACAAUUUAUAUUUGAAA